rnacentral:rRNA from 1 species
UACGAAGGGGGCUAGCGUUGCUCGGAAUCACUGGGCGUAAAGCGCACGUAGGCGGGUUGCUAAGUCAGGGGGGAAAUCCUGGAGCUCAACUCCAGAACUGCCUUUGAUACUGGCGGCCUUGAGUCCGGGAGAGGUGAGUGGAACUGCGAGUGUAGAGGUGAAAUUCGUAGAUAUUCGCAAGAACACCAGUGGCGAAGGCGGCUCACUGGCCCGGUACUGACGCUGAGGUGCGAAAGCGUGGGGAGCAAACGGG